rnacentral:rRNA from 1 species
GACGAACGCUGGCGGCGUGCUUAACACAUGCAAGUCGAACGGAAAGGCCCUGCUUUUGUGGUGUGCUCGAGUGGCGAACGGGUGAGUAACAUGUGAGUAACCUGCCCUUGACUUUGGGAUAACUUCAGGAAACUGGGGCUAAUACCGGAUAGGAGCUCCUGCUGCAUGGUGGGGGUUGGAAAGUUUCGGCGGUUGGGGAUGGACUCGCGGCUUAUCAGCUUGUUGGUGGGGUAGUGGCUUACCAAGGCUUUGACGGGUAGCCGGCCUGAGAGGGUGACCGGCCACAUUGGGACUGAGAUACGGCCCAGACUCCUACGGGAGGCAGCAGUGGGGAAUAUUGCACAAUGGGCGGAAGCCUGAUGCAGCAACGCCGCGUGCGGGAUGACGGCCUUCGGGUUGUAAACCGCUUUCGCCUGUGACGAAGCGUGAGUGACGGUAAUGGGUAAAGAAGCACCGGCUAACUACGUG